CCCUACUGCUAUCGGGGUGGGACUAAGACAUGCUAGUCGAGCGCCUUGAGCUAUGGCGAGGCGCGGCGUACAGCUCAGUAACACGUGGCUAACCUACCCUUAGGACGGAGACAACCCCGGGAAACUGGGGCUAAUAUCUGAUAAGUGAGGAGGCCUGGAAUGGUUCUUCGCUGAAAAGGCGUUGAAACCAUGCUUUUCAGCGUCGCCUAAGGAUGGGGCCGCGCCCGAUCAGGUUGUUGGUGGGGUAACGGCUCACCAAGCCUAUAACCGGUACGGGCCGUGAGAGCGGGAGCCCGGAGAUGGGCACUGAGACAAGGGCCCAGGCCCUACGGGGCGCAGCAGUCGCGAAAACUCCGCAAUGCGCGAAAGCGUGACGGGGCUACCCCGAGUGCCAUCCGCUGAGGAUGGCUUUUCCCCGGUGUAAUGAGCCGGGGGAAUAAGGAGAGGGCAAGUCUGGUGUCAGCCGCCGCGGUAAUACCAGCUCUCCGAGUGGUAGGGACGAUUAUUGGGCUUAAAGCGUCCGUAGCCGGCUUAGCAAGUCUCCUGUUAAAUUCAGCGACCUAAUCGUUGAGCCGCGGGAGAUACUACUAGGCUAGGAGGCGAGAGAGGCCGACGGUAUUCUCGGGGUAGGGGUGAAAUCCUAUAAUCCCGGGAGGACCACCAGUGGCGAAGGCUGUCGGCUAGAACGCGCUCGACGGUGAGGGACGAAAGCUGGGGGAGCGAACCGGAUUAGAUACCCGGGUAGUCCCAGCUGUAAACGAUGCGGGCUAGGUGUUGGGGUGGCUACGAGCCACUUCAGUGCCGCAGGGAAGCCAUUAAGCCCGCCGCCUGGGGAGUACGGCCGCAAGGCUGAAACUUAAAGGAAUUGGCGGGGGAGCACCACAAGGCGUGAAGCUUGCGGUUC
rnacentral:rRNA from 1 species